AUUGAACGCUGGCGGCAGGCCUAACACAUGCAAGUCGAGCGGUAGCACAGGAGAACUUGCUCUCGGGUGACGAGUGGCGGACGGGUGAGUAACGUCUGGGAAACUGCCCGAUGGAGGGGGAUAACUACUGGAAACGGUAGCUAAUACCGCAUAACGUCGCAAGACCAAAGUGGGGGACCUUCGGGCCUCACACCAUCGGAUGUGCCCAGAUGGGAUUAGCUAGUAGGUGGGGUAAUGGCUCACCUAGGCGACGAUCCCUAGCUGGUCUGAGAGGAGGGCCAGCCACACUGGAACUGAGACACGGUCCAGACUCCUACGGGAGGCAGCAGUGGGGAAUAUUGCACAAUGGGCGCAAGCCUGAUGCAGCCAUGCCGCGUGUAUGAAGAAGGCCUUCGGGUUGUAAAGUACUUUCAGCGGGGAGGAAGGCGGUGGAGUUAAUAACUUCACCGAUUGACGUUACCCGCAGAAGAAGCACCGGCUAACUCCGUGCCAGCCGCCGCCGUAAAAC
rnacentral:rRNA from 1 species